GCAUCUGUGGCUCAGUGGGUAGGGCGCUGGCCCCAUAUGCCAAAGGUGGCAGGUUCAAACCCGGCCCUGGCA
rnacentral:tRNA from 1 species